ensembl:lncRNA
AGCGCAUCCGCUGUUGGCUUCAUGAGCAGCUGAUGUGGAUUUAGUGAUCAGUCUGUGAUUGGUUGAUACAAAUUGCUUCCCAGAUAAGAGCUGCCUCCACCACUGCUUCAGCAUUAGACUCUCUGGUUUUUGUCUUGUUGGCCAGAGUGCUGAGUUGGCCAGCAGCACCCAUGCAGGAUGUGUGGUUUCACUAGAAUACAACUUUGGCUGGCUUUGCUGGUUCUGGUCAUUGCAUUCCAUGAUGUCAGCAUUGCAAAUGGGUGGUGUUUGGCCUCCCCUGGCUCCACAAAAGGAGGCAGCGGUCCAAAUGACCAGUACUUUGGCAGUUCUGGUGUAGAUGAUCAAUACGAGACAGGGACUGCUCAAAAGUCCAGUGUUCACGCUGAAGCUGUUGGCAGUUCUCAAUCUGGAUACAGCGGACCUUACACAUCAUUUCAGAGUGGAUCCUUUUUGGGGACUGGCGACCAGGUUGUUCAACCUAGACCCAAGCCUCUGUUUCAUUCCCAAAGCCCUCCCACCAGAAGCAAACCCAUGCAGAGCAACUACCAGCCAGACUACAGCAGGCGCUCUGGUUCCAUGAAUGAAGGGGGUAGCUACCAGCUUUUGUCUUCCCCGGGCAGCUUCAAGCCUCAGUUUGGGAAGACUGGUAAGAACUCUCCUUGGUCUCAAACACUUGAUCAGUCUAGAAAUGAGUACAAGCCAGGUGGAUAUGACCAGAGCAGUAACAACCCGAUCCAAGGUGGUAGAUGGGUUGACCAAAGCAGCUUUCAGCCUUUGCAGACCCAGAACAUCCAAGGUGGGCAGAGCUACCAGCAAACCCAGACUACCUCGAAGCCAGUGAGCAAUGCAAAGCCAACUGGCUAUAAGCCCUUGUCUGCUUGUCCUGCUCAUGGGGUUGGCAAACCUCUGUCUCAGAGCCACUUUACUCCAUCCAGAAGCUCUUUUCAGAGCUCUAGCCAGUCCUCUGGGUCUCCACAGACUACAAACCACCCUGUACAGAGCAACUACCAGUCAUCCGUGAGCAACUGGAAACCACAAGCUGUAUCUAGACCAGUGGGGAGUACCCAGGAACAAGCAUCUCCAGCCAAGCCAGUACAGAGCUGGCAACGGACAUCCCGUCCAGUUUCUAGCAGUCCUUCCUAUUCCAAGCCUCAGCAAAGUGUCCUGAGCCCCAGGUCUUUCCAGUCAUCCCACAAGCCAGCCCAGAGUACUAGGCCAUCCCAGAGGAGGUACAACCCUUUCGAGAACUGGCAGUCUCCAUCAGUGUCUAGUGGUUGUCCAUAUGCUGAACCUGAACAAAACGGGCAAACCUCCAGACCAGCACAGGGUAACUGCAAGGCCUCCCAGACUAGAUUUACACAAAGCUCUGUGGCCCAACACCCUGAUGGCACCAGGAAACCAGCAGCUGCUGCUAAGCCAGUCCAGGGCUGGCACUCUCCUUCAGUGUCUCUGGUGUGUCUUGAGAUGAGCCAUUUGGCUAAAGGUUUUUUCACACUGAGAACACUGAUGUGGCUUUUCCCCAGUAUGGAUCCUCUGGUAUGUUUUGACAAAAGAAAUCUGGUUAAAGGUUUUUCCAUACCGAGAACACUGAUAAGGCCUUUCCCCAGUAUGGAUCCUCUGGUGUUUCUUGAGAUAAGAAAUCUGGUUAAAGGUUUUUCCACACUGAGAACACUGAUGUGGCUUUUCCCCAGUAUAGAUCCUCUGGUGUGUCUUGACAUGAGGAAUCUGGUUAAAGGUUUUUCCACACUGAGAACACUGAUGUGGCUUUUCCCCAGUAUGGAUCCUCUGGUGUGUCUUGACAUGAGAAAUCUGGUUAAAGGUUUUUCCACCCUGAGAAACUUUUUCCAUUCAUUAAUGAAACUGCUUCAGGCAAAUUCAACUCGGGUCUUGCUCAGACUAAGGGCUAAAGGCUUGGAGAAUGCAGUGUUUGAAUGAAG